UACGGGACGGCCGCUAAGGCCGUGAUCACCAAAUUUUGGGUAAGUUCUCUUCUAAAUCACUUGUCUUCAGUUUCGUUCAUAGUUUAUCAUUGGAUCACUCAACUCAUGCCUUGUUUGCUUCUGGUUUAUGCAGCAACUCUAUAGAGUUCUUGACGAGCACAAGGCCAGAGCCGACGUGGUCUUGCUUGCGGCUGCGAAGAAGAAAGCUCGUCAGUUGCAGUACGAGGUGCGCUGGGUUGCCGUCUCGCAGUACUACCACUACUACCUGCACCAAAAGAUGACCAAAAGUCAAGCGCAGAAGCAGCGACUUACCUUGAAUAGGGAGCAGUUCAUGAUGGUAACUAUUACUAACUUUUCAUUGUUUCAAGCAGUCAACUCUAUGUUUCGUGCUCACAUGUCAUGCUUCCAAAAUUUGCAUAGGUUGUUCCUCGUUGGUGCUAUGGAAGGCAUGACGGAUGGGCGAGUUUGGUGGAUAGGUGGCUCGGCGCCGAUGUAGAGUUUGCUGCCAAGAGCAUCAAGGGCCGGGCUAACCAUGGAGCCGACGGGACACACGGCCAAGGAAACAGGAACCACUGAAGCUUCAAGGCCAUGAAGGUAUAUCUAUGUGCAUGAUGCAUUUUUGUUCUUCUUUACCGUCAUGUUCUUAUGUAUGGCUAACUUCUAUUUGACGUUGUAGGAGGACAAGUUGAAGAGGCCGCUCUCAGACAUGGAGUCGUGGAAGCUGGCCCGCGAGCGGAGUCGUCGCAAGGAGGGCGAGAGCCAGUACUACGGCAAGACCGAGGAGCACCUGGGGUCUUACAUUCAUCACUAUCAGGAGUUGCAUCCGGAUGUUCCUGUUGCCGAGGUCGCCCAGUCUCAGAUCGACGACACGGCGGUGGUGGCCAUCCAGGGGAAGAAGAAUGGCCGGUAUCCGUGUUUCGACGGCUUGAUCACUCCUUCGAUCUCGUACACACAACUUCGGGCUAGCAACCCGAGCCAGUUAGAGAGUACGGGGCGUUCACAGACUCCUUUAGCCCGCCAGCAUGCUGUAAGUACUUCCUCUUUAUCUUUUUCUAUCUAGCAUUCUCAGUUUAUUUUCAGCAUUGCUCACUUAGAAACAAUCUAAAUUAUGUAGGCAUAUAAGGAGUUUGUCGAGCAUAGGAAUCUCGAGGUGCGGGAGUACUUGAAACGAGUGAAGGCAAACGAUGAUUACAACCGUCAGAUGAUGACGGUUAGUUCUGCCCUCUUAAAACCAAGCUAAAUUUUUGCACUUUCAUUCCUUCUGAUCUUCUAGUUUGGUUGUUUAACUAACAUUCAGGCUAUGUUGGCGGCUUGGAGUAACGGCACGGGUCCACCACAAAUGGGACCCCCACCACCACCUGCGGGAGAACCCCCACACGUGCCCACGUUCGAUGAAUGGGUGGCACUAGGCAGUGAUGGUCCGGUUAGUACAUUUGCCUAACUACUGACAAACUAGUU
rnacentral:lncRNA from 1 species